rnacentral:rRNA from 1 species
UGGGGAAUUUUGGACAAUGGGCGAAAGCCUGAUCCAGCAAUGCCGCGUGUGUGAAGAAGGCCUUCGGGUUGUAAAGCACUUUUGUCCGGAAAGAAAUCCUUGGCUCUAAUACAGUCGGGGGAUGACGGUACCGGAAGAAUAAGCACCGGCUAACUACGUGCCAGCAGCCGCGGUAAUACGUAGGGUGCAAGCGUUAAUCGGAAUUACUGGGCGUAAAGCGUGCGCAGGCGGUUUGCUAAGACCGAUGUGAAAUCCCCGGGCUCAACCUGGGAACUGCAUUGGUGACUGGCAGGCUAGAGUAUGGCAGAGGGGGGUAGAAUUCCACGUGUAGCAGUGAAAUGCGUAGAGAUGUGGAGGAAUACCGAUGGCGAAGGCAGCCCCCUGGCAAGUACUGACGCUCAUGCACGAAAGCGUGGGGAGCAAACAGGAUUAGAUACCCUGGUAGUCCACGCCCUAAACGAUGUCAACUAGUUGUUGGGGAUUCAUUUCCUUAGUAACGUAGCUAACGCGUGAAGUUGACCGCCUGGGGAGUACGGUCGCAAGAUUAAAACUUAAAUGAGUUGACGGGGGUCAUAGCUGUUUCCU